rnacentral:tRNA from 1 species
GCCGGAGUAGCUCAGCUGGUAGAGCAAGUCCCUUGUAAGGACUAGGCCGUGGGUUCGAGUCCCACCUCCGGCU